rnacentral:rRNA from 1 species
UACGUAGGGUGCAAGCGUUAAUCGGAAUUACUGGGCGUAAAGCGUGCGCAGGCGGUUCGGAAAGAGAGGUGUGAAAUCCCAGGGCUUAACCUUGAACUGCACUUCUAACUACCGGGCUAGAGUACGUCAGAGGGGGGUAGAAUUCCACGUGUAGCAGUGAAAUGCGUAGAGAUGUGGAGGAAUACCGAUGGCGAAGGCAGCCCCCUGGGAUGAUACUGACGCUCAUGCACGAAAGCGUGGGGAGCAAACAGG